rnacentral:rRNA from 1 species
CAUGCAAGUUGGACGGGAGUACUCGAGGAAGAGACUUCGGUUAAUUUUUUGGGUAUGAGAGUAGCGGACGGGUGAGUAAUGCAUAAGAAUCUAUCCAUCAGAGGGGGACAACUGCGGGAAACCGGAGCUAAUACCCCGUAAGCCGGAAGGUGAAAGGGAGCAAUCCGCUGAUGGAGGAGCUUGUGUCCUAUCAGGUAGUUGGUGAGGUAAGAGCUCACCAAGCCGAAGACGGGUAGCCGGACUGAGAGGUUGUACGGCCACAUUGGAACUGAGAGACGGUCCAGACUCCUACGGGAGGCAGCAGUGGGGAAUAUUGGGCAAUGGGCGAAAGCCUGACCCAGCGACGCCGCGUGAGGGAAGACGGCCUUCGGGUUGUAAACCUCUGUUGCAGGGGAAGAAGGAAGUGACGGUACCCUGCGAGGAAGCUCCGGCAAACUACGUGCCAGCAGCCGCGGUAAUACGUAGGGAGCGAGCGUUAUCCGGAAUUACUGGGCGUAAAGGGCGCGUAGGCGGAAUGGCAAGUCAGCAAGUGAAAGCGUGGGGCUCAACCCCAUGAUGCGGCUGAAACUGUUAUUCUAGAGGCAUGGAGAGGCAAACGGAAUUCCCGGUGUAGCGGUGAAAUGCGUAGAUAUCGGGAAGAACACCAGUGGCGAAGGCGGUUUGCUGGCCAUGAACUGACGCUCAUAGCGCGAAAGCUAGGGUAGCAAACGGGAUUAGAUACCCCGGUAGUCCUAGCAGUAAACGAUGUAUGCUGGGUGUGGGCGUAGCGAUACAUCCGUGCCGAAGUUAACGCGAUAAGCAUACCGCCUGGGGAGUACGGUCGCAAGAUUGAAACUCAA